UUGCCGGGAAGUUGGGACAGAUGAAUGGCAAACAGUCAACAACAAACCUGUCACUUCUCAUGAAUUUACUGUUCCGGGACUCAAAACUGGUAAACAAUAUGUCUUCUGUGUCAAAUGUGUCAAUGAAGCUGGUGUAGGAGAAAGCUCCCCAGAAUCUGAUCCCAUUGUUGUGAGACAGGCAAUCUCUCUUCCAUCCACCCUACGAGAUUUUGCCCUGCUGAACUGUGGGAAGGACACCAUGACCAU